AGUCUGCAACUCGACUGCACGAAGUCGGAAUUGCUAGUAAUCGCGGAUCAGCAUGCCGCGGUGAAUACGUUCCCGGGCCUUGUACACACCGCCCGUCACACCAUGAGAGUCGGGAACACCCGAAGUCCGUAGUCUAACCGCAAGGAGGACGCGGCCGAAGGUGGGCUUGAUAAUUGGGGUGAAGUCGUAACAAGGUAUC
rnacentral:rRNA from 1 species